CUAGUUGAUUCAGUCGUGUCUCUCGCGACUCGUAUCGUUUGUUCGGACUUGUGCUUUUUAACUUUGCAUUAUAUUCGAUCGCCAAUAGACGAUUUAGUUUUAACUUGUGACUAUAGUAUUGUUAUUGACUAUUUGCAUCUUUAUUGUCCGUAAAUGCCGGUUAAGUGUAUUUUGCAACUCACAAGACGGCGAGUUGCUAAAUACAUCAGCCCCUGUCGGAGUGUUGGAACGCAUAAAAUACUGUGCUUCCUUUGAUUACCCUUUGCCUCGGUAAGUUGUUAAAUAUCAUUACAUCAUUUUCACAUUGAUGUCUUUAGUCGCGUGUAAGAGAGUACCGUAAUAGUCGUAAGUCAAAAUUGUCGCAUGCCGUCGGUUGCGUUUUCGAUCUUGCCUGAGAAUGUGGUUUUCACCGUUAUUCUCAGCUCUGAUUGUUCUUUUGCAUUCAAAAUACUGUAAUCGCGUUGACGCGUUUAAAAACGAUUUCCAUAUCUUACCGCAAAUCGAGUAUCAUGCCGUUGGUCAGCACUUUUCUAUGGUUGGCAUGGCAAAGAAAAUCUCAAUAUGCAAUAAAAUUCCUUAUGGUGUUUUAUUGUUAUAAAAAAAAUUAUAUAUAUCAUUAUCCUACCAUCUCUACUUUUACUUUUCUUAGAUAUUUUCUCCCCUUUGGAAUGUAUUAGUAGUUGAUAGUUGUAUUUCUGUUGUGUUGCCUUCUUUUCACUUUCCUUUGAUAUUCGUUGGGAAACUUGUAAAAUUUUGUAGUUGUUCAUUUUGUUGAUUAUUUUUUGCGAUUUUUUUUUAAAAUACGUAGUCUCAUUUUCCUUUUUGUAACAUCCUGUAUAUGGAAUUUUCUUGAUCAACAAAGAUUUAUAAAAAUUUAUCUUUUUGUAUAUUUUCCGCUUGACCGUGGGAUUUUAUUUUUAAAAGUUUAAAUGUUCUUUAUGUAUCACCCUGUAUAUUUAUUUCCCAUGAUUUCCAAUCAGUACUUGACUACAUUUGUUUUUUCCAAGUCUUUUCCUCUUGAUCACAGGAUUUUAUUUUUAAAUCUAGUAAUUUUCCUUUUGUAUCACCCUGUAUACUCGUUUUUCUUCAUUUAUAAUCUGUCACUGACCAAGUUAGUUGUCCGGGUGUUUUCUAUUUUGAACUUUAUAUUUUCUUUCUGUAUCGCCCAGUAUAUCACUUUUCCUUAACAUAAUUGUUAAUGUGGGGAAAUUUAUUGUUGUAAUGUAAUUCUUGUUGUAAUUCUUUUUUUAAUCAUUGGUUUUCUUUUUUAACACCCUGUACAUUAGUUUUCCUGUAUUUAAUUGCUAUUUCAUAAUCAUGUAGUAUGUUGGUGUUUAUAAUUUGGUACUUAUGUGCAUAUGUGAAACGCAGGUCGUAAGACUUACUUCAAGAUGGCGGCCUGAAAUUUGUAUGUAUUUUACAUUCUGUUAUUAAAUAUGUUAAUAAAGAAAUGUUAAAAGAG